rnacentral:tRNA from 1 species
CUUAAGCUUUUACUUACGGAGGUUCAACUCCUCUUCUUAACA